UACGAAGGGUGCAAACGUUGCUCGGAAUUAUUGGGCGUAAAGCGCACGUAGGCGGCAUUGCAAGUCGGAUGUGAAAUCCCUCGGCUCAACCAAGGAAGUGCAUCCGAAACUGCCGUGCUUGAGUACUAAAGAGGAUCGCGGAAUUCCCGGUGUAGAGGUGAAAUUCGUAGAUAUCAGGAGGAACACCGGUGGCGAAGGCGGGUCUCUGGGCCGAUGACUGACGCUGAGGAGCGAAAGCGUGGGGAGCGAACAGG
rnacentral:rRNA from 1 species